rfam:Streptomyces caelestis strain NRRL B-24567 P188contig11.1, whole genome shotgun sequence.
CAUCAACCGACGACGACCACUCAGGACGGCAGGAGCGGGGGACCCAGGUAAGCCGCCGGGCCGGACACGCGCCGGAACGGCUAGGGGUGAAGCCAUGCCCGCAGGGGCACGGCCGGGCACUCUCCCGCCCGAACCCGACAGCUCACCUCGCAGGCGUAGGAGAGGAACC